rnacentral:rRNA from 1 species
AUACGUAGGGGGCGAGCGUUGUCCGGAAUGACUGGGCGUAAAGGGCGUGUAGGCGGCCGAUUAAGUCUGGAGUGAAAGUCCUGCUUUCAAGGUGGGAAUUGCUUUGGAGACUGGUUGGCUUGAGUGCGGAAGAGGUAAGUGGAAUUCCCAGUGUAGCGGUGAAAUGCGUAGAGAUUGGGAGGAACACCAGUGGCGAAGGCGACUUACUGGGCCGUAACUGACGCUGAGGCGCGAAAGCGUGGGGAGCGAACAGGAUUAGAUACCCUGGUAGUCCACGCGGUAAACGAUGAAUGCUAGGUGUAGGGGGUAUCGACCCCUCCUGUGCCGGAGUGAACACAAUAAGCAUUCCGCCUGGGGAGUACGGCCGCAAGGUUGAAACUUAAAUGAAUUGACGUGG